rnacentral:rRNA from 1 species
AUGAGCAGAGGUUCAGGUUGGAAAGCCACAAUGUGGAAUAUGAAGGUCUCUGAGGGAAAUUGGUGCGAGCGCUACACGGUUGAUGUUGCCAAAAUCUCGGUUGACAAAAGCUUUUCUGCUAAAUUGCCUCAGAUGUGGGAUGAUGAGACUCAACAACAGCAGUUGAAGAACCUGAUGUUCCAAGGCCCAAUUCUGAGCAUGCUCAAUGACGAUUUGCUUUACAUGAUGGCCAAGGUGAAUGAUGAAGACGACACAGCCUGGGCUAUCACUAUUGACAUGAAACAUGCAGCUCUCAAGGCACUGGCAAAGUUUUCUGUCAAACCGAACCAACAACUCCUCACUACACUCUGCUUCUCAUGCGUCCUCCCCAAGUACCUCAACAUUCCCCCAGGGACAGAAAUGUAUGAUCCCAUGGAAAUGCACUUUAAGAGGAUGAGUUUGGCGCAGUUUGUUAUGCAAGUGCAGCAGACUCGAGAAUGGUUCAGGGAACUUGAUCUAUUCAUAGAUUGUGACUUGCCAACUUAUAAGGAAUCCAAACCACUGCUUACCGAGUGUUGCCCAGUAUCCUCUUUGUGUGUACAUAUUCAUGCGCUACUGAAAUAUGCUACAUGCACCGAUGAAGCCUCCAAUAAUAUGCAACAUCUCUUACGAGCAUUUGAGGGUUUUGACAUGCUGCUAACGGAGUCAUUUAAUGAGCAAGCAAGUGAUGAGACCCUGAGGAGAAAAAUCAUUGUGGCCCUUCCAAUUUUAGACAAUCUUUUGCAAAGUAUGCUACCAACAAUGACUCCUGAAGAAAGAUACAGAGUAGGAAUAUUUGAACAGUAUGAGAAGUCAGGCUAUACGAAGAAGGACCACCAGUCGUUUGGCUCUAAUGCUGAGAAGGUUCGCCACAGCAAGAAGCGAAGCCAUGCUAAGAAAAGGACUCACAAGCAACAGCAACAUAUUUUCAAGCGCAAUAACUUUGGGCGGGAUGUGGCUUUGAACCGCUGGCGGUACUUGGGCGGCUGCAUGCUGAUGUCUGUUGGUAUGUUGUCACUUUGCUGGAUGGUAUGGAAGAUCUUGCGGGAAAUGAUCUUGCAGGAGAUGCUAGCUUGGGGCUAUUACAAUGAUCAUAUAUAA